rnacentral:pre_miRNA from 6 species
UCAUAUCAAUGAGCAAAGAAAGUGGUUUCUUGAGAUGGAAUCUACUCCUAGUGAAGAUGCUAUGAA